GUGGGUAUAGCUCAGUGGUAGAGCACAUGCUUAGCAAGCACGAGGCCCUGGGUUCAAUCCCCAAUCCCUCCA
rnacentral:tRNA from 1 species